UACGAAGGGGGCUAGCGUUGUUCGGAUUCAUUGGGCGUAAAGGGUGUGUAGGUGGCGCGCUAAGUCGGGUGUGAAAUUUCGGAGCUUAACUCCGAAACUGCAUUCGAUACUGGCGUGCUUGAGGACUGGAGAGGAGACUGGAAUUCAUGGUGUAGCAGUGAAAUGCGUAGAGAUCAUGAGGAAGACCAGUGGCGAAGGCGGGUCUCUGGACAGUUCCUGACACUGAGACACGAAGGCCAGGGGAGCAAACGGG
rnacentral:rRNA from 1 species